AGCCUUUCGAAAGAAAGAUUAAUACCCGAUGGCAUAAUGAUUCCGCAUGGUUUCACUAUUAAAGGAUUCCGGUAAAGGAUGGGGGAUGCGUUCCAUUAGGUUGUUGGUGAGGUAACGGCCCACCAAGCCUUCGAUGGAUAGGGGUUCUGAGAGGAAGGUCCCCCACAUUGGAACUGAGACACGGUCCAAACUCCUACGGGAGGCAGCAUG
rnacentral:rRNA from 1 species